CCUACGGGUGGCUGCAGUGGGGAAUAUUGGACAAUGGGCGAAAGCCUGAUCCAGCCAUGCCGCGUGUGUGAAGAAGGCCUUCGGGUUGUAAAGCACUUUCAGUGGGGAAGAAAGCCUUGGGGCUAAUACCCUCGAGGAAGGACAUCACCCACAGAAGAAGCACCGGCUAACUCCGUGCCAGCAGCCGCGGUAAUACGGAGGGUGCGAGCGUUAAUCGGAAUUACUGGGCGUAAAGCGCGCGUAGGCGGUCUGAUAAGCCGGUUGUGAAAGCCCCGGGCUCAACCUGGGAACGGCAUCCGGAACUGUCAGGCUAGAGUGCAGGAGAGGAAGGUAGAAUUCCCGGUGUAGCGGGGAAAUGCGUAGAGAUCGGGAGGAAUACCAGUGGCGAAGGCGGCCUUCUGGACUGACACUGACGCUGAGGUGCGAAAGCGUGGGUAGCAAACAGGAUUAGAUACCCCAGUAGUC
rnacentral:rRNA from 1 species